UACGUAGGGUGCGAGCGUUAAUCGGAAUUACUGGGCGUAAAGCGUGCGCAGGCGGUUUUGUAAGCCAGAUGUGAAAGCCCCGGGCUUAACCUGGGAAUGGCAUUUGGGACUGCAAGGCUGGAGUGUGACAGAGGAGACUGGAAUUCCUGGUGUAGCAGUGAAAUGCGUAGAUAUCAGGAGGAAUACCGAUGGCGAAGGCAGGUCUCUGGGCUGACACUGACGCUCAUGCACGAAAGCGUGGGGAGCAAACAGG
rnacentral:rRNA from 1 species